UACGUAGGCAGCGAGCGUUGUUCGGAAUUACUGGGCGUAAAGAGUGUGUAGGCGGUGCUCUAAGUUCGGUGUGAAAUCUCCUGGCUCAACUGGGAGGGUGCGCCGGAAACUGGAGUGCUUGAGCGUGGGAGAGGAAAGCGGAAUUCCUGGUGUAGCGGUGAAAUGCGCAGAUAUCAGGAGGAACACCGAUGGCGAAGGCAGGUCUCUGGGCCACUACUGACGCUGAGAAGCGAAAGCGUGGGGAGC
rnacentral:rRNA from 1 species